rnacentral:lncRNA from 1 species
UCCAAACAAACACCACAAGCACACAAAACAUUAUAAUAAUGCAUAUCCUAACUGGGGUGAACCUUUUUGAGCCAAGGGUUCAGGCCUAACGAUUUUUGAAGAAAGUAUAUGCUUCCCUAAAGUCAAUCCAUUAUACCCCAACUUAUAUAGAUACGAAACGGGCAUAAAUGUGUACAAACGAUAACAAAAGAGGGAUACAAUCUUUGGGGGAAAAGGUAAAUAACAUGAAAAAGGAUAAGUUCCCGCGCAGAGUAGAAUAGAAAAACUAACUACUGGAGGCUCUUUCGUAUGCCUUUGCCUUCUUAGCUUUGUCCACUUCUCAUAUUGGUGACAUCCGCCGGCGCUCAAAUUGUGCCUUAGAUGCAACCUCCCAAAUCGAUCAAUUUCUUGCUUAACUUGCUUCAAUUCUUCUUACAAAAGUAAACAAAUCAAGUUUUUUCCCGACCCACAAAGGAUAAUGGAUUGGAUUAGAUAGGCAUACAUUUUCUUCGACACAUAAAUAUGGAUCGUCUAUAAUUAACUCGAGGUCAAUAAACGUAAGGCAGGUAUUCUAAUGGGCCCAAUACCCCGCUCGGAUAUUCGGUCGUCCUAGGCACAUGCCUAAAAUAGGGUUUUGGUUUCGUUCUAUCCUCGGUGUCUAGAGUGGGCUUGGACACUGAUUCUCAAGCGGACAACUUGAGUUUGAAAAUAUGAGCAACUUCAGACGACUCGCGUGCUGAUAAGCUGUUCGUAUUUCCAACACAUUUUGGAAUUGAACAACAAGGGCCGGGACAUCCACGAAACUCCGAAACAGUUUAUAAGAUGCAGGAAAUGCCAUGAGAUGUGAUAAUUAAACUUUACAUAAUCAAAACACAUAAACACAUAAACAGUUAAUCAAAGACGAAAUAAAACAUUUGGUUAGAACCUAGUUAAUUCCCCAGCAGAGUCGCCAUUUCUGUUUUACGGAAGUUUUGACUUUUGAAAUAGAGUCGUCACUUAAUUUUUGAAAAGGAAUUAAGAAACUUUUAUAAAAGUUACUUCAAACGAUUCAAAAUAAGAAAAUCAGUUUAAGUUAGAGAUUCUAGAUAAGCGGUUCCUAUUAACGUUUUAGGAAGGUGUUAGGCACCUAAAACGUCCGCUAACUUGCGGUUAUCUGGACUGUUUGAAAAUCGUCUUUUGAUUAACUUCGAAAAGAUUAAUUUGUUGAAAUAGUGAUUUGAUUUUUUUUCAAAAAAAAAAGACUUGUGUAAAAUAGAUUUAGGCGACUUAGUAGGGAUUUUAACUAAGUCUAAACAAAACUAAUAAACAAAUAAACACAUAAAAGGGGAAGGGAGGAGAAAGUAAAGGAUUUAGGCCAUUGGGUCCGAAUCAACGAGACCUGUCCUAGCCUAGUUGGGCUUCCGACCCAUUUAACCUGUCCUAAACUAUUUUUCGAGCCUUUGGCUCGAGUCUUGCUCCACCUAUAUUAAAUACAACUUUGGCUUCGAGGCCGAAAUGAAUGAAUAAAUAAAUGACUAAAUGAAUAAAUAAAAAGAAGACAAUAAUGAAAAUUGAAACUUUUCAAGUCUCUUAGUGAUCUCAUCAAUGGGUUUUGACCCAUUUUCCUUCUUCGUCUAUCUUCUAUCACCCGUACGCCAUGUAAUGGACCUUGGGUUUAAAAUUCGAACUUGACUCGAAGGGGUGAGCCUCAUUUACCCAUAAUUAAAUGCAAGAUGAGAGAAGUCCAUUUGGACUCGAGACAUUUUUUGCAUGCAAAGAAAAGAUAAAGAAAUUAAUAAACGUUCAAGGCAUAAAGUGACAUAUUUCAAAGCAAAAGAAAAUAUCAAGAAUCAAUUUUUGAAGGAUAAUGAUAAGCACACUUGCAUAAGAAUGAGAGUCAACAAAUAAAAUGCAAAGCAAAGACACCCACUUACAUGCCUCAUGAUUUAUGUUCAUACAAGAAUGUAUAAAGGUAAAAGGAAGAAGGUCAUAUUCAAUGAAUUAAUACAGGAAACAAACAACGUAAGCUUGCGAAAGUAAAGGGAUGAGGCAACAAGGAAAAACUCAUGACUUCUAAAAUUGAACAAACAUAGAUACUAAUCUAUAUAACAAAAGAAAAUAAAGCCUAACUUUUCAAGCAAGAGAAUACUAAAUCUCAAUUAAGGCGACAUUAACGAAAAUUCAUACAUCUAAAUCACAAUCAACAUUUUAUGAAAAAAACGCAUAACGACCUAUGGUUUAUAUUGGUAAGACAUCGUUGAUUCUCUUUUGACAUUAUGAAUAAAAGAGAUACAUGAAUCAAGUCUUUACACACACAAAGAGCACAUAUAACAAUCCAGAGUAAGAAAAUAAGAAUAAAAGUUUAGCAUUUUUAAAAGUGAAAUAUCGUUUAACAAUCAUACUAUGCAUGACUCAGAAAUAUCUAAAUAAUUCUAUUUAGCCACAAAAAUCCAAACUUUCUCAUCAUUUUGACAAAUUUAAAAACAUGAGAAAAAAAAAGAAAAAAAAUAAACAUCGUGGAUGAAAAAAUAAAGCUAUCACUUCAUCUCUUAUACGAAGAUUUUGGAGAUCCCUUAAAAUAAUUAACAAGCAAAUGACAAAUUUUUNNNNNNNNNNNNNNNNNNNNNNNNNNNNNNNNNNNNNNNNNNNNNNNNNNNNNNNNNNNNNNNNNNNNNNNNNNNNNNNNNNNNNNNNNNNNNNNNNNNNNNNNNNNNNNNNNNNNNNNNNNNNNNNNNNNNNNNNNNNNNNNNNNNNNNNNNNNNNNNNNNNNNNNNNNNNNNNNNNNNNNNNNNNNNNNNNNNNNNNNNNNNNNNNNNNNNNNNNNNNNNNNNNNNNNNNNNNNNNNNNNNNNNNNNNNNNNNNNNNNNNNNNNNNNNNNNNNNNNNNNNNNNAUUUUUAUAUCAUGAACAUGAAAAUAAUUAGAAUAUCGAUAUCACGUCGUCCUAGGGCCUUCAAGGCCAUCUACAGCAUACAAUCCCAACAAACAAAAUUAUAUCUACAAACUAUGAAGAAGAAAAAAGAUGAAGAAGAAAACAAUAAUAAAAACUAAAAUAAAAAAAAGGUGUGUUUACCUUUUUGGGGGCAGCAAAACGAGACUACGAGUUUCAUCGGAAUCAACUACCACCGAAAAACGUCGUCGGUAACUCAAAAAAUUUAAGUAGCCGACCAACUCUAUGAAACAAAAAUUUUUACUAAAUAAAAAUAACUAUUUUGCUCAAAAGGAUUUUUUUCACCUUUCUAGCCUCUUUUAUUUUUUCUUCCUUUUCUCCUCCUCUUUACCAAAGUAGUGGUAGUAUUUAUAGGAGAGAAUGAGGUAUUUUUUUCCCUUUUCCACCAAUGUGGGAGAAAAGUAUUUAUAGGAAAGGAUGGAGAUUUAUUUUUUGUCAUCUACCAAUGUGGGAGAAAAAUUAAUUAAAUUCGAUAUGUUUUAAAAUAAAUAUUUAAGUAACAAAUUAUAUAAUCUCAUAUAACUGAACACGAUAGUAUAUAAUCGCUACUUAAAAUGACAAAAUCACUUACGAAAAAUAUUUUAAGUUUUUUUUUUUAUUUAGAUGAAAUAAUUAUUUUGGUUUAUUAAAAACUGAAGAAACUCAGGAUUAAAUUUAGUCGUAGAGGGCAAAAAUUAGGUGUCAACACAUAUUAGUCAAUUAGCCAGUAUUGUUCAUGCAUAUAAACCCCAUGCAUUCAGCCUACCUCAUAUGCAUACCAGUACAUUCAAAGUACUGACGCAUUUGCGCUAUGGUGUCUUAUACCAUAGGUUCAGAGAGACGAGCUCCAGAGCAUCAGUAGAUUCCAGAUAUCAGCAGUCAGAGUUAGUAGUAAGUCCUCAUCCUUCGAGGACAUGAUUAUUGCCCCUAUUAUCUCAUUAAUUAGUUUAUUAGUUGGAGUUAGUUGGGGACAUGUCCCAUCAACUCUUUACUCAAACAGUUUAGUCAGUUAGAGGCUUUCCAGACUAUUAUGGUUAGACAGUUAUUUCAGUUAUUUUGGGUAUUUCAUACUCCGUUUAGAUGUUAUGUUUUACUUCAAUUAUGUGAAACUUAUGGCCUUUCAGUUCAUGUUUCUGCAUUAUUCAGCAUAUUAUGCAGUAUACAGGUACAAAUAUCAGUCAUGGAUUAGCUUGUGGUCCUUCGAGGUCGUGAGCUCCAUGUAGCAUUCCGGGUACCAGAUUCGAGGCUUUACAUUUAAUUUAGAGUUUUAGAACAUUAAUAAUAAGAUUAAUUUAAUAAAAAAUCUUUUAGUUAAAAUUUUCUUUAGAAAAUGUAUUUGCAAGAUUCGAUUUUGUAAAAUUAUAUCGAUUAGGUUGUUAUUGUGGAUUUAGUUUAGUAAAGCUAAGAUGUGGUGAAAAUCAUAUACUCCCUCUGUUCGAUUUUACUUGUCACAUUUUAAAUUCAUAAAUUUAUUACAAAAAUAAUUAAUAUUAAGGAUAAAAUAAGAAAAAAAAUUGUCUUCUGUUAAUAUAUAAAAAUGAUAAAUAAAAUUAAAAAUUUAAUUAAGAAAUUAGUAAGAUGUAAAAGAGAACGGAGGGAAGAGUAUAUGUUACGAGUUCAAUUGACCCUUAAAACCACACUAUUGGACAGUCGAAUAAAAAAACAAGAGAAUUGGACAAAAUAGGCGGAGCUGGAAACCCCACUACUACUAAUUGGGGGUCCCUAUUCUUUAUGUGCCCUUUCAAUAUAUUGAAGAGUCUCGUCCUUGGCACUCGUCCCAAUUUCAACUUCCAACCAGAGGGGUAUCUUUGUUGUCAGUUGAAUCCUCCUCCAAAAUUGUUCAUUUUGCCUUUUUUCAUAUGUUGUCACUUCUAUAGAACCCGAAAAAGCAAAUCUUUGAAGAGAAAAGAAUGAGUGCGCAGGUCCAUCUCCGUGCUGGUCAUGUCCCUAAUCAAUGCAUUUUGUUGCCAUCGACAUCCUUGCAGCACACAUUUUGUGUAUUGAAUUCUUCAAGAGAAAACAGAGUCGUCUUAGGCCUGGGGAGAUCUUUCUUGGGUUUGAAUGAAAGAAUAUUAGAAAACCGAAGGAGGACAGCGAUUAUCAAAAGAAAGACAGUUCCUCUGGCCAUAAGAGCAUCAGCAGGAGGUGCAGUAUGGGAUGGUUGGUUGCCCGAUAAGACAUCGAAAGCUCCUCCAUUAAGUGACAUUUUUUGGCCUUCUGCAGGUUGGGUUCAGUAAUUCUACAGUAAGCUUUUAACAUGUGGUUAAAAUAAUAGGAGUAAUAAUACUAGUUGUUUCCAUUAUGGUCAUGGGAGGAGCAUCAAUUCUAACAAUGUGAAUGCAUUUUUUUGUAUAGGGGCAUUUGCGGCAAUGGCAAUGCUAGGGAAGAUAGACCAAAUAUUGGCACCCAAAGGAAUAUCAAUGACUAUAGCUCCACUAGGAGCUGUUUGUGCUGUCCUCUUUGCCACCCCUUCUACUCCUGGUGCUAGGGUACUCUCUCUAAUUUCUAUCUUUCAUAUUUACGAUCUUAUGUGUCAAUUCAUGUGAUUUUCUUUUAAUUUUAAAUAGAUUAAUCCUCAAAGCUAAAUUGAGUUAAAUCAUAAACUAAACGAAACACAUCAUAUGAUAAAAGAAAUAUUUUAAUACAAUCAAAGACUAUGACAUGUAUAAUUAUAGGGAGUAUAUUCUUUUGCUGGAAGAGCAUAUCUUGUGGAGUGCUAUUGUUUUAUUUUUUGGUGGGAUGGGAGUGGGUGAAUGGGGAAGGAUAAAAUAGCCCCAUAAUCUUAUUUUAUCUGGCUCAUAUACAUGGGAUAAAUAUGAUCAUAUAUUAGUUUAUGGUAUCCACUUGCAAGCUACAAUUUUUAUGCUAGAGAAUUGAACCGAGGUGGGUUUAUUUAUUAUGAAACGCAACAAUCCCUCCAAAAAUAAUUUCCAAUUUUUGGGGGGAUUUAAUAGUGUUUUUGAUGAUUUUGCUUUAAUUUGAAAGAUUGACAUUAAUAUUUAAGUUUAAUUGGAGCAAAAAAUUUGACCAUAAAAGGAAGCUACAUAAUUAUAAUAUUCAAGAAUUGUGAUCAAAUAUUCAAAUGGUAAAUGAAAAGAAAGGAAAAUCAUGAACUUUUCGAAAGUCAAAUCCUAACAGAGACAAAAAAAAAUAUUAUAGGUUAUUUGUCAUGGAGGAUAAAUUACCCUAUAAUAUUUUUGGUGUAAGGCAUUAACUAUCAAAUGUCAAAUUGACCUCGACAAGAUCAUCUUAAAAAAUUACUAAAAUAAUUGUAAGGUCACUUCCUCUAAUAAACGAUGGAAGUCAAAUUUUUCUCUUUUGAUGGCACUGUCGUUUCCUUGAAAAUUAUUUUUGGUAACUAAACAUCUGAAAAUAAUCACUUCCAUCGUAUCAAGUGCAUCAAACUGUUAGUUGCAAAUAAUCAAUUGUAAUCACUUGUAUUUUCUAAUAUUAUAAUAAAGUCAACACCCAAAGGCAAUAUUAUAAGCCUUUGUAAUUUGUACUCAUAAUUAACACUAAACAAUUUCAGUUUUCAAUCAAGUCAAUAUCAAUUUUGAAAUGAAAGGAGUAAUAAUUGAACUGAUGAGUUUCGAAGCUAGUUCAUUUUAAGAUAUGAGGAUUAACUCAAUUGUAUGACCUAAUUGAUACGUACGAUUAACAAAUUUGUAAAUGUUGUUCGACAAAAAAAAAAGAAAAAAGGGUCGUCCGGUGCACUAAAGCUACAGUUAUGCGCGGUGUUCAGGGAAGGGCCCCACCACAAGGGUGUAUCGUAGCCUUACCUUGCAUUUCUGUUAGAGGCUGUUUCCAGUAUUUUUUUUUAAAUGUUGUUCAACAAAAAAUACUAAUAUUUUCAAAAGUUUCUUCUUUUAAUACUGUUGAUAAAGACUUGAGUAGCGUUGCUAAAGUACUUAGUUUUUUUUUUUUAGGGGUAAAACGUACUUCCCUCUUUUUGAUAAAGUUUAUUUGAGCAGUCUUUUUAGCUGAGAAUCUAUCAAAAAUAGUCUCUCUAUCCUCAAAGUUAGGAAUAAAGUACAUGCACAUUUUACUUUCUUCAAACUUCACCUGUGGGAUUGGACUCUAUAUUAUGUUGUCAUUUGAGUAGCCUUACUUAAGUACUCUCUCCCAUUGGAGUACUAUCUAAGGUAGUGACUUGGCCCUGUCUCCUUCUGUAACUACACUCUCCCUCCCACUUUUUUUUUAAUUAAUUCUUUUAAAAAUAAUAAUGCAUUUCUAUAAUUUUCUUAUUUAAAUAUUCAAUGGCCACACAAAUGUUAUACUAUAAUUAAAAUCACACCCUUCAAAAGUCUUAUAGCUAUAAUGACAUAUUUAAAAUCACAAGCAAAUGACAAGACCCAAAAUUUUCAAAUCAGGAAUGCUCAAAGCUUUUAGUUCAGAAUUGUUACCUUCUCACAUUGGAUGCUCAAUCAAAAUCCUUGUAUAUUAUUUACAAGUUUCUAGUGCAAAUGUAUCAUAUAUAGUGUUUGAAUAAAAUGAAAAACGUGCUUGAGCAUCGAGUGGUCAGAGUAUAGGUCUCCCAAAGACUAUGCAUUUUUAAGUUCUUUCCUUCAUAAACUUUGUAUUGAAAGAAAUUAUGUCAAAUAAAAGGAGUAAUUUGUAUGAUUGUAUCUUCAUCCACAUUUGCCUAUGAGGGAACAGGAUCAAAUCAGAUUUGAAUAAACAAAUGAGAACUCUUUGGGAAACAACCACUAGAACAUGAACAAUCUUUGAAUCAUUGAGCAACAAAAAGUGAAAACAUCCACUAGCUAGUUGGGUUGUUUCUCAUCUUCCCAAAAAAGGAAAGUGUUUAAAGAUAGCAAAACAGUAAUAUGUCCUUAUGUACCAGUAGUAUCAACUAAUCAAAUACUAGUACAUAUAUAACUACCUUUUGAAUUUUUUAAUUUUUUGUCUUGCAAGUGUUGAUUGGGUUAUCCUUUUUAAAAGCUUUGGCUCAGUCUGUCUAGGAUCCUUCAGUGCCUUUCUCGUGGCUUGUGCAUUUUCUGUUAUAUAAAUUGUACCUACUAGAUAUGAUCCACAUUGCUCAACUCUGUUUGGUUGGUUGAUAUGACAAAAAGAACAAAGAAAAGAUAACUGCCUUCCAAAAUUUGUCCACAAGUGAACAUGUUGGAAUUGUAUCAUUGGUCAGGAGUAUAACCACUUGUCUUUAGUAUCAAUUAAAUGUCAAUUAAAAGUCUUGAUUGUGCUUAUCAUGACUCAAUUUCAUAUCAUUAUCCCGAACAAAAUUAGUAGAUAAUUGGCAUGGUUACUUAGGGGCCUGUUUGGCUGGCCUAUAGAAAGAACUAGUCAUUGUAUAAUACAACAAAUCAAAUAUCCCACAAUAAAUAAUCUCUGCAUUGCAAUUUUAUUUUAUUAAUUUGUGCAUUACUGCUUCAUGAACUACAAUCCCAACAUUACUAGCUAGUCUCUGAUUAUACAAUACUUACGUAACUAAUCCUUAUGAAAUUUGUAUUUGGAACCAAAAGAUCCUUUAGUGCUGAUUUGCUUUCAAGUACAAGAAGUGAUAAUACCUGCAAAAAGCUCAGCAUGAGCAAUAGAAUCUUUGUUUAGAUUCUUACACUAGCAUCAACGUUACUUGUACGUGUUAUUCUUUUGUUAUGUUUGUUGGUAUAAAAUCAAUAUAUAUAUAUAUAUAUAUAUAUAUAUAUAUAUAUAUAUAUAUAUAUAUAUAUAUAUAUAUAUAUAUAUAAAAAAAAAAAGAAAGGCAUUAAUUUGGCCAUAGUUCCCAAAUAUGUUUGGCAAAAUGGAUUUGGGUGAUGUGUUUGGUCAUAGUUUUUGGGAAACAUAUUUAACUCUUUUUUUAAAAAAAAAAUGAAACAUGAUUUAUUCACAUAAGUUAUAAAAACUAUUAAAAAUAUAAGUAAUAAGAAUGGUAGUAACUAACUAUUCUAAGUACAAACAAUCAAUAUAUAUAUAUAAAGGAGAAUCAAGACCAUGCUGAUGUGGCAUGCCUAAGAGAGCAGCAUUUGCAUUUAUCUUUUUUCUCUUUUUUUGAGCAUUUUUCUUCAUUUCUCAACAUAAUAAUCGAAUUAACAAAAAAUGAUAUGAAUUAAAUAGGAAUCCUUUUAUUCAAGACACCCACGUACAACUUUGUAAUAAAACCCACUUAGGUAACUGUUUUAUCCAGCCCACAUUGAAAUAAUAAUGGGAAAAUUAUUGACACAUUAAAUUCUAUUUGCAAUAAAACCUAGCUAAAGCUAGCCUUUUCCUCCCAAAUCAGCUUCACAUUUCAUGGUUCAUCGUCAAUUAUUGAAAGAAGAAAUAUCACACUACCCUCUGCCAGAAGUUAAUUAGAAGCUACUAUAAAUUUUUGAGGUGGUAAAAUUUUUUUUUUGUUACUUUUAGUUCUCAAAACACUCUGUUAUGUGAAAUUAGGGAUUGGCAAUAUUGACAAGAAUGUUUUGUUUUUUCCAUUUCUAAAUUGUUGCUUAUAUGUGCCCAUUCUUCUCUCAAGUUUUAAUUGUGAGGUUUGAAAAUUCCUUUUGUUUGAAAAUCUGUGAAUGGAGUUCGGAAAGGAAUUAAAGAACGGAUUGAGCAGCUUCACUCUUUGAAUAUACUUUUAUCUUUUAAUUCCCUUUCCUUUCUUCAAACAAAUGAAAUAAUAACAAUAUCCAUGGCAAAUUUUUAUCUGAAUUUGACAAAUUGAAAAAAAAUAAGGGAAGAUUGAGUGUGUAAGAUACUCCCAUCUUCUAUAAAUUUUGAAGUAAAUUCAGAUAUAAUUGUUUUAUCUAUUCUAUACUGAUCAAUUUUAUUUUGUCAUAUAAGUCGAUCAAUUUAAUGAAUUUCAGUAUCCUAGCAGGCUACCAUAUUAUGUUAGAAUGAUUUUAUUUUAGCACAUAUAAAAACAUGAAGAAGAUAAGAAGGUGAAAAGUGAAGGUCGGUGAUUAAAUUUGCACUUUAUUUGUUCCUCAAAUUUGUAAGUUCUUAUUUUUUUGUGAUUAAAUGUGCACUUUAUUUGUUCCUCGAAUUUGUAAGUUCUUAUUUUUUUGCAUUUAAAAUAAUUUGAAAGGUGGCGUAUUUAUUUCUUCAUCAUUAAUACUAUUGCUAUAUAUGUACCUUUUCAUCGUUUUUUUUUUUCUUUUUGACAUCCCCUAAACCUUAUCAUUAUGUGUUGUUUUGUUUCUAAUUUUCAAAUCGCUCGAGGUUACUACUGUAUAAUAAAGUAAGUUGUUGCAAAGAAUCUUAUAAAGGUUAUUUUUUGUUAACUUGAAAUAACGUGUUGAUGUAAGUGCAUGUUACUUAUCAGUGUAUUAUAUUGAUGAUUCUGAAGACAUUAUAUUUGAUCAUUUCAAAAAUAAAUUUUUAAUAUACAAUCUACUGAAUAUAUUUAUAAAGAAACAAAGAUUACUAUUUAUAUUUUAUAUUUUUAGAAAUAACUAUACUUUAUCAAAAUUUUAAUAAAACGGUAUAAGAAAAUUCAAAUACGAUAACAUAGGAGUACGAUAACUUUAUUAUUGAUUGCGUGAAGCGCGGAUAAGUUUACUAGUGUAAAAUAAGAAUAUAGAGAUUAGUAUUACAUGGAUUAGAGCAUUUAAAAUGACUAAAUGACCCUAAUGUUUUAACAUCCUUUUCUAAGAAAAGAACAUUUUAACAUCCUUUUCUGAGAAAAGAACACACAUUGUAAAUAUAGACCGCACAAUAAAUGGUACCUGAAUAAUAAGGACGGUUACAAUUCUUGGAUUAGAAUUUCUGCAUUAUUUGUUUCUACAUCAUUAAUCUGCAUAACAUGUCUCUAACCAAAGGAUCCCUUGGCGUGUCUCAACCACCGGAUCAAUAAAAAAAGAGGAAUCUUUAUCAGUAUUCAGAGGCGGAGCCAGCCUUUGUAACGGGUGUUCAUCGAACCCCCUUUAGAGAAAAACAUACUAUUUAUACAUCACUAAAAGUAGUAUAUUUUAUGUAUAUAUAAUAGAUGUCGAACCCCCUUCAAUAAGUUUCUCUUCAAAUUUUGAAUCUCCUUCGUGAAAAUUCUGACUCCACCUCUGACAGUAUUAGUGUUGGGAGAAUGAGUGCAUUAGUAGAAAGGAACAUUUACACAUUAAAAUGAUUAGUAAUAUACAAAAAGUAUAACAUAAUACUAUAAUACCUAUACUUUUAGAAAUAAUAAAGAGCUAGGGAGGGCAUAUUCUCCAAGUUAGUGAAAGUCAAUGUGAAUUUACCCGCCAAUUCAAACAGAAAUUUUUUCAAUAAGCUGUAAUCACUGCAGUGCUGUAUUUGAACCUACUGCUUGUAGCAGCAAAAUAAUCAACAAUUCAGGUUCUAUUAAUAAAACUCACCAUGAAAUAUUGUUUGUGUAUGCUGUGAGUUGAGCAGAAGUACAAUAUGUUCAUGGCACAAAUCGGUUGUGCAGCGAUUGGUGUUUUGGCAUUCACAAUAUUGGGUCCUGGUUGGUUAGCUCGAAGCGCAGCUCUUUCUGCUGCCAUGGCUUUCAUGAUUUACACUCGUUCUGUUCAUCCACCUGGUAAAUUUGUUGACGAGUUAUCUUUUUUUCUCUCUCGCUCGAGAUAAUGUAAUCAAAGUUGACGUGCUAAAUUUGUGUAAAUGUGUGAUAGCUGCAAGUUUGCCGUUACUAUUCAUUGAUGGAGUUAAGUUGCAUCACCUCAACUAUUGGUAUGCUCUCUUCCCUGGAGCUGCUGGAUGCAUUCUUCUCUGUUUAAUAGUAAGUUCUGCUUCCUCUCUCGACCAUUUUUAGCUCCUCAUCUGAAAUUUCUUACAUAAGUAAAAGCAUGAUAAGUAGUAUUUGUUUUCGAUAAUUUUCACCUCAUGAACUAACUUUUAAUUUGACUUUAGACUCAAAGGUUCACUUUCCUUAAACUGGAGUCAUUCAUACUCUUGGUUUACCCAAUAUUAUUAGAGUUGUCAAUACGGGUCGACCCAACCCAUCCGGACUAACCCACACAGGCUUUGAGUUUAAUGGGCUCAAAAAACACCAAGCCCACACCAUUACUCUGUAGGCUGCGGGCCUCAUGAACCAGCCCACUUUUUAAAAAAUGAUAUUUUAUAAUUUAAUUUUAAAAUAUUAAAAAACAUAAAUAUUACCAGACAAUAUUACAUAGUGUUAAUACUUAUUAAUCAAAUCUCCAACACCCAAAAAAUACUCUUAAUAGCAAAAUUAAAUACUAACUUUUGACAUGAUAUCAUUCGAACCAAAUAAAAAUACUAAGAAGCAAUCUAAUAGUUGCAUGUAUUUGACUUACGGUCCAGCCCACAGGCUAACCCAAUCCACAUUACUCCAGCUCCACGAGCCACGGGCGUAUACGGGUCAGGCUAAAAAACCUUGUUCUUAAAUGGGCUGCAAAAGUUGAAGCCCAAUUCCAUCAAAUUACUGGCUAGAUUGAGCCGGCCCAACGGGCCUGGCUAGGGGUGUUCACAGAUCGGUUUGGAUCAGUUAUUUGGUUCUUGUCGGUUUAGUUCGGUUUGGUUCAGUUUUUUCGGUUGAUAACUUUAGUUAAUAAUAAAAGUUGAAAUUUUUCUUAAAAAAAUUCAAUCCAACAUAUAAGAUGUCAACCGAGUGUUGUUCCUCAACCUUGAACCUAAGAUGUCAAUUUAGUGUUAUACUUAGACAAAGCCAUAAACAACUCCAUAUGAACGCUUCUACAAAAGUAUUUAGAAACUACAAAUAAGAGAAUGAUAUGAUAAACCCCCAAAAGGUAAACACAUAAUUUUUUUGCUUAAUAGGGACCAAAAAGAAAGUUUACAACUAGUGAUUAUCUAUAAUCUAAUAAAACUCACCUAUAAAAUCCAAUAGACGACAAGAUAAUUUUACAAUUAGUAUCAUUUGUCAUUCAAUGUGCGAAAAUCAUAUAGAAUAUCAUAACAUACCAUCAACUAGAUGGAGACAUAUGACUAAAAGUGCUAUGACUAAAGUUAAAUUCAUGAUUAAAAUUUACAACAACAACAACAACAAACCCAGUAAAUUUUCACAUCGUGGGGUCUGGGGAGGAUAGAGUGUAUGCAGUUCAUACCACUACCUUUAAAGAGGUAGAGAGGCUGUUUCCGAUAGACCCCCGGCUCAAGAUAGAAUUAGAAGCACGAUCCUCCUUAACCUCUAUCCUUCAACCUCUAUUUAUAGGGAAAAGAAUUAGGGUUUUCAGACUUGAAAUCUGAAUUUGAGUUGAUUUUUUUGAGGAAAUUUUUGAAGUUCAUAGUGAGACAAAACUUGAAUUUAAUUAAAUCAGAAGGAGAUGUUGGGUAUUAAAUCCUUCCCCGAAAAUGGAUGAACAUCUUCUGAAAGAAGGAAAGGUGGACGAAUUUGUAGCCGAAAAAGGUUGAACACGAGGGUAAAAGAGUAAUUGACCGGAAAAAACGGCUAGGAUUUAGCCGAUAUUGGUUGUUUAUUGUCGUUGUUGAUAACGCCAUUGGUGUGGGGUUUGUAACGUUGGAGCUGGUUCGCUGUUUGUUGCGUUGGUAUGGUGUUGUUACAGCGUUGUUGUUAUCGAGUAUAACUGAUAUCUUUGUAUGCUGUUGUUCAUGAUUAAAAUUUAAAAUAUAAAAAAUAUUUAUAUUUUAUUUAUAAAUAAUAUAUAAAUAAUUUAUAUAUGUAUGUGUGUGUAUACAUAUAUACAUGUAUAUAUGUGUGUGUAUAUAUAUAUAUAUAUAUAAUUUUUAUCAGUUCGAUUUAGUUAUUUUGUCGGUUAUUUUAGAAUAAAAUCAAAACCAAACCACAUAAGUAUCGGUUUUAAAAAUUUAAAACCAAACCUAACCAAAUGUCGAUUUUUUUAAUCAGUUUGAUUUGAUUCGCGGUCCAAUUUGAUUUUUAACCAAACCAUGAACACCCCUAGGCCUGGCCAUGUUGACGGCUCUAAAUAUUAUGCCUUUAUGCUAUUAGUGUUCACGUGCACUCGAGGUUUAAUAUUCGAUGUGCAGUGCGUGUUAAGUGCAUGACUUUUUUUUUUUGUUUCCCAUCCGGUCUCCAGUACCCGCAUUGGAGCCCAAUUAAUUCGGAUUCGCAUCGAGUAGGGCCCCAUUCGGGUGUAGCGCUCCCAACAGAGUUUUCUCCAUGCCUAGGGUCGAUCGUUAAGUGCAUGACUCAUAUUGAUUCAAAGAAUGAAUUGUUGUCUCCUUAAUUAAUAGUAUAAUUUUGAUCAAUCCUUACUUCUAAGCUAAUUUUUCUGUUGCACUAGGUUGAAUGUCUAUUUUUUAUUUUUUUUAAUUUAGUAAAAAAACAAAAGUAUCAAAUUUGAUGUAUACGUCCAUCUAAAAAGGCUAUUCUAAUCUUUUAAAGCACGUUCAAUAAUAAUUUAAAACAAAUUCAAAUGACAUGUUUGUUGGAAACGGCCUCUCUACCUAUGAGAUAGUGGUAAGGUCUGCAUACACUCAUCCGUUUCUAGAUCUCAAUUUGUGAGACUAAACUGGAUAUGUAGUUGCUGUUAUUUGUCAAAAUGACAUGUUUAUCAUCAGGUAUUCUAUAGCUUCUUCACCAUUUAGCUAGCUAGUGUCUCAAGAUGCAGUUGGGUAAAACCAGUAAUAUCUAGUGUAGUGAGUACAAUACACUUUUUGUUUCUUGAAUCCAAUUGUUUAUUAAUUCUGUUACUUUCCAAAUCAUUGCAGCAAGAGAUUGUGUGCUACCUAAAAGAGAAUGUCAAAUUCUGAUGUAAAAUGAUAUGAGAUGUAGCUGUAUUAAAAUUCUUUUUCAUGGUUAAAAUUGAAGAGGGAAUUCACCAAUUUGCAAGAAAGCAGUCACGGGUUCGACCAUAAGUGAAUAUAUGUGAAACGUCGAGCGCAAAAUUUCCAUUUAUAUUUGUGAAUAAGAUAUGAUUUUCAUUCAACCCAGAAAUUGUAUUUGUGAAUAACAUGUAUAUCAUUCUGGAAAUUGUUGUUAUGGAGCUCUGCUUCUUUUACUAUAUAUUAAAAAGUUAUUAGAAAAUAUUACUGAAUUGUGAUCAUAAGCUAUAUAUUACUAUGAUCACAAAUUACUAAUAUUGUUUCAGUCUGAAUUGGGAUUGGUUGAUGACUGAAAAUCUUUGUGCCACCUGUUCCAAUCUGGAUUAGUAGAGUAAGACUCAGACCAUAACAUAAUUGACAAAUCUGAAAUGUAAUUCCACAAGUAAAAGUUAUUUGAAUGGAGAUUGGUUGUGCCCAAAAGGUUCUGAAUUGAUUUACAAGUUCAGUAUCAAUGUCUUUAUUUCUAGUGGAAAUACAUUGCAGUCUCAAUAUAUAUCAUGUGUUAAUACAUGACCAAUUGGUUGUUGCGAUUAUGUGUUGUUGUCGGGACAAUAAUAGUAGUAUCUUGUAUCUAAAUCGGUGGCUCGCUUUUUUAAGACGGAUGUGACAUAAUUUAUAGCAGUUUAAAAGAAACUUUUUUGCCAAAUAGAUCAACUAAGACAAAAUUUAUAGCGGUUUAUCAGUAAAUUUUUUGCCAAAUACAUCAACUAAUUAUUAUUAGCAGUUUCAAUACCUUUAUUUAAACACAUAAUUACUUAUUUGUAAAUCAAUUUCAUCACUUAAAGGUGUCUUUUUUUUUUUUUUUUUGUUUCCCACCCUGUACCAGCUUGAGCCCAACUAAAUCCAUUUUCGCGCUGGAAAGUUUCACAUUAGAGGGAUAGGUGUCUUCUAACAAAGACAACUUCAUAUUUCAGGGGAUUCAAAUUCAAGGUCUCUGAAUAAGGACGAAGUGAUACUUACCACUCAACCACAACCCUUGUUGAUCCUUAAAAAUAUCUUUCUUAGCUUACUUAACUUUUUUGAGUUAUUUACAAUAUAAUCUCCUUUGACUUUCUGUUGCUUCAGAAGGGGGAUAGGGUGCUUUGUAAGGAUUGUAAAGUCAUUCCGAGUGAGCAUCUUUCGACUCAGCAUAGGCUUCUGAUUAUGGACUUGUUUAUCAAGAAGAGCAACAAGAGUAGGGCCGGAGAGGGUCGACCCAGAAUUAAGUGAGGUGGCCUGACGCUAGUUAGUGCGCUGGAGAUAGGGGAGAAGGUAGCGGGAAUGGGGUGUGGGAGUGUAGGGGGGACAUGGAUGUUAUGUGGGACAAGGCGGCCAGCUGCAUCAGGGAGGAGGUAUGGACUGCGUACAUUUUACCCUCCCCAAACCUCACUUUGUGGGAAUACACUGGGACUGUUGUUGUUGUACAAUAUAAUCUCCUUGUUCAAGCAUACUCUAAAUCUCUUAUUGUGAACCUGAUGGAAUAUAUAUAGUGAUGUUGAAAGAAAGUUACAACAUGGGUUACAAACUUAUCCAUGAUAAAUUACUCCAUAAUGCACGUUGUUCUCUUUGUCUAAAGAGAGUAUAACUUUUGAACCAAUGAUUGAUACCGAAUAUAAUACUCAAAAGAUGUUUUAUUUUUCCUUUAAACACAAAUAAUUUUAAUUUUACAUGCACAAUAUGAAUUUUCCGUCAAACGAAAUUCAGGUGAAAAUCCCUUACUCCCAAGUAAUGCCCCCCACCCCCGCCCCCCCAAAUCUUGGCCAGGAGCAGCCAAGUGGAAAAUGGGGUUGCAGCAAAAGAAAAAUUAAAAGUGAAAGAUUUGGUGUUGCUUUUUUGCUUUUAUAGACGAGUGUGUUGAAUGCACGUGAAGCAAGAGCCAUUACUUAAAUUAAUAUAAAUAAUAAAAUUGAAAGUUUUAUAAUAUAGUACUAUGACAAAGAGAACUCAAAUCAAGAUUAUUAAUUUAAGUUGAGAACUUUGCGUCUUUAUGCAUGAACUUAAGCUCAAAAGCUAUAAGGGCUAAAUAGUGGUUUGCUUUUUUAUUUCGAUAGUAGGUACUUAUUUCUUUUUACUAUGAUUUUUGAUUAGGUAAGAGAUCGUUUGGUUUUAGGCUAGAACUAUACAAAAUAUGUAUAUAUUUUAAACUUAGUUAUUAUCUAUUAAUUUUUUUUUAUCUUAGAUCAUACAUAAAAGUAAUAUAUGAAUUAAUUCAUGACUUAUAAAUUUAUGUUUGAAAAGCCAAUAAACAUUAACAUUCAAAGCAAUUCUAGUUUCUAUAUGUGGGAGCUUAAUAAUGGGAAGUUUGGAAAUUCUAUAUAAAACUUAAAAUGUUCACAUUAAUUUAUUUUAUUUUAUUUUUGAAAAUUGGAUUUCAUCAUCAAAAAAACAAAUAGAAGAAAUUUUCGUGUGUAGGGCCAGUGGACUUUUAGACCGUACAAGUAUAAGCAUAAUCUUUUAGAUUAGUGCCAAUUGCCACAUAAAAGGCAUAAAUACAAAUUAGAGUGGGACCAUAUUAGUGUAUAUUGGAGUUUCUUUGCCUGAUGGGGUUGUCAUGAUAGUUGAUUGAUGUAGUGGUUUAGUGCUAAGCACGGUUUUAAUUACGAUCAUCUUGACAACGACCUCUUUUUUUUUAAAAAAAAAAAAGUAUAGUGUGGCUAUCUCGUGUCAAGUAGCUGACUAAUUCAGAUUUACGUGAUAUAAGAUCUAUUAAAGAAAAAAAAGAUUACUUAUCAAAGGUUAUUUUUAUUUUUGAAAUUUAUUGAAAGUAUUUAAUUAAAGGUGGAGAAUUUUGUUGUAUCUUAAUGACACUUGUUGAUGGCAAAAAAAGACGUUGGUGCCUUGUUCUUACACGCGUUGCCUUUGGAAUCAGCAACUUUAUAAUUUCUUUCUUAUGUUCUUUGGUGCAAAAUAGAAAGUAAGAAAGACAUUUGUGGAUAUUAAUAAGAGUACUUUCGGCUAAUUUAUUUUGAAAAAAGUUUUCGAAAAAGAUUUACUUUUGAAAAGAAAAAAGACUGUUCAGAUAAUUAAUGUGAAAAUUAUCCCGAAUAUAAUUUUUAGAUUGUUAAUUACAAGUUUUAGCAUAACUUUUCAUUAAUUACUAGAUUUAAAGAAAUAAUUACAGGUCAUAGCAGCUUUUGAAAAAAAAUAUUUUAAUUAAAUUUCUGAAAAUUGAUUUUUUAAUAUUUAUUAUUUGUAUUAUUUCUUUAUAUUUAGCAUUUAAUAUUUAUCACUUCUAAUUAAUUACAGUAUUUAAUUACCAAUAGAAGUCUAUUUCUUUACCUUUUUUAACUUAUGUUCAUACUCAAUUUAACUUUUAACUUUUACUGAUUAUCAAUAAAACUUUUUCCUUCUUUUACGGCAUAUUCGACUGAGUAGUCUUUUCAACUUAUUUUCUUUCCUUUUGAGUACGCUUUUUGGUUUCCCAAUGUCCAUUAACCAUUGAUCUUGGAUUAAUAUCUUAAGCUUUUUAUUGUUUUCUUGAGAUUUAUUUUUUAAUUAAAUUUUGGAAAAUUAAUUUUUUAAUAUUUAUUAUUUGUAUUAUUUUCUUAUAUUUAGCAUUUAAUAUUUAUCACUCCUAAUUAAUUACAGCAUUUAAUUACCAAUAGAAGUCUAUUUCUUUACCUUUUUUAACUUAUAUUCAUACUCAACUUAUAUUCAUACUCAAUUUAACUUUUAACUUUUACUGAUUAUCAAUAAAACUUUUUCCUUCUUAUACGGCAUAUUCAUUGAGUAGUCUUUUCAACUUAUUUUCUUUUCUUUUUAGUAUGCUUUUUGGUUUCUCAAUGUCCAUUAACCAUUGAUCUUGGAUUAAUAUCUUAAGUUUUUUAUUGUUUUCUUGAGAUUUAUUGUUUUUCUUGAGACAAUGUCCGAAAAAAUCAAAUUUGAUUCUACCCCUAGUUGGAAAAGCCCUAGAAUUAUACAAAACAUAGUCCUAUUAAUUUUUCAAGACCAUCGUUUGAUUUGGGAUGCGUUACCCCAUGUCCAAAAUCAAAGAGCAAGAAAAAAUUAGUUAAAGUUGAUUCUAUUCCUCACAAUAAAAUUAAAAUUUUGCCGGAGAAAUCAGAUUGUUCAAAGAUUUCACCAUCCUUGAAGCAAUAACAACUCAACAUGCAAAAUAAUAGAGUAUCAAAAAAGGUUAUUGUUUCAGAUUUUGAGAAGGUUGACAAGAGGAAAAAAAAUGUUGGUCAACAUGAUUCAGAUUCAGAUUCAGAUUUUAAAGAUGAAAUUUUCGUGCCUAAAUGAAAAAAUCAAAAAAAGAAUCUCGUGAAAAUGCUAGAGUUACAAGGUUUAAGGUUCGUGUGGGUAUUGGCAAGGUGGAUGAUAAUAAGUCUGACAAAAAGAAAUCAAGAAAUGUGUGCAAGGUUAGUGUAAUCUGAUUUUUUUUCAAAUAUGUAUUAAAUUGGUUAAAUUGAUAUUGAAUUAAUUUUAAUUUUUUUUAUUGAGAGUGUAUAUUCUUUUGGUAUCCACAUAAUUACCUAAGAUCAAUCCGGCUACCACUGUUGUCAUUCCUUGACGCCUUGCAUAAACGUGAUCCUUUAUUGAGCAUGUAUGAAUGUCACAAUAUUUUCUUAUCUUAAAAAACUUUGAUUUGUUAAUUCUGGAAGAACGAAAAAACCAAGUGUAGUCCUCCACCACACAAACCAAAUAGUAGCUGGUAAAUUAAAAAAUUAUUAUUACAAAAAAAAAUAUAGAUAUCAAAUUAACAUACAACUAUCAUAUCCAACUUAAUACACAAAAAAAACACAAACGUUUUUACCUGGUUCCACUUGAUCUUUCAGUUCGAUAAGAGAACUGUUUCAUAAAUGCGUGCAACUCCAUAACAUUAACCAGUGUUUGUUUAUCCUUGUAAGUCUGUUUUACAGCUACGUUGAUAUUCGUUACAUCACAAAUUAUAUCCACAUGUUCUUCUUCAAAUUCUUCAAAAUCUGGACUUAUCCCGAUCAAACGAACACAAUCUUUUGAAAAUAGCUUUCUCUUUUGUUCAUUCUUUUCGUUAGAACACUGUUGCCCAACACAAACAAUUGCUCCUUCAGUUUGGUGAAUUGCAUCAUCCGAUUUAUCCAAAGUUGUAACGUACAAUGGAUAUUUUAAGAAGAAAUCAACAACCGUUUUCUUCUUUUCCAAAUACACCUGCACACUUGUAUCAUUGUGUAUGACCAUAGUUGGGCAUCUAUCACUUAUUAUGUAUCGGAUUUCAAGAUUAUUUAUAGAUGUGUCUAUCAUCAGUUGUGUUGCGAUUGUUUCUACUAAUCCUUUGUACUUGGUCGUUGCAUCAUACAUUAUCCCAUCAAUUUUGAAGUCCUUCGGUAUUCCUGUUUAUACAAUAAUUUUAGUGAAAUUGAUAAACGUCCAAAAUUCAACAUUGUAACAAUAGAUAAUUGAAGAAACACACAAAAAAUAUAUAUUUAAAUUCGUUUAGAAAGCGUAAAAAUAAAUUAACAAACCUGACGAAUCUCAUCUCCCUCCAUGACGUAUCAUGAUUGAAUGCAAAUUAACAGAAUUCAUAUCUAUUAUCUAAAGAAAUACUUCUUUUUGCUUUUUUUUCUAACUAUAUUCAACAAUGCUUAGUUAGCAAGCAUUUUUUGUAUACUGGUAGAGAGAAAUUGUGUAACAGAGGAAGGUAGUGUAUAAAAUGGGAAUCUUAAUGCAAGCAUUAAAAUAGGAACAAAAAUAAAUGGUUAGAGGGAUUUGGAGUGGAUAAAUAUCAGUAAUUAAGGUUUAACUAUUUUUAAGGAAGGUAAUUUGUAUAUUAAUUGUAUUAAAUCUUACUUUUCCUUUUUCAUUAAUUAUUUUUUUGUAUUUUCAACAAAAAGAAAAACAUAUUUUAUAUAUUUUUUUAAGAUGAAAGUUGUUAUAACUUGAAAAUUUAAAAGUUUUGCUAUAACUUGUAAUAAUUAAUCUAAUAAGUUUAUAUAGUUAAUUCACCCAUAAUUAAUUUGGGGUGGGUGGGGAGCUUUACAAGAUUUUAAAUUUUAAUUUAAAAUAAUAAUUUCUUUUUCUGCGAAAACAUCAUUAAAUGGACAAUUUUCCCAAAAACAUAAUUUCUCUUUUCUACUUAAGUUUUUUAAAAAACUGAAUUAUAAAAAACCUGCCAUCUUAUUAUUUUAAAAACUUUUCUAGUUCAAAAGGGACCUUAAAAGCUUUUUCAACGUUCAAAAGUAAAGGAUUAUUUCUUUUUCUUGGUGUUGUUGAGUUUAAUAUGAGUGCCCUUUCUGCCUGAGGAAAGCAAAAUAGAAAUGAAAUUUUAUUAAUUAAUAAAAGCUUCACCCUUUUUGCUCAACCACCUAUGGUAAGUGCUUAUUAGCCACUAAUUUAUUUAGUUCAUAAGUGAUAAUCAGUUUACGUAGUUUAACUUGUGGUGAUAUCCAACUCAUGAAACUAUAUUUAAGUAUAAAAUCGUACUUUCGUUAUAUUAAAAAUCAACAAAGUAAUUUAAUUCUCCUUCAUGACUUGGUAGAGUAUUUGUCAUAGUUGGUUAGCUUAUCAUUCUUUUGAAAGUGCUUGUAAUUUUUUAGAGUCAGCAUUAUCAAUUUUUAUUUCAAAGUCUUUUAAACAAGUCUAAUAUUUUUCGUUGGUUAAUCAGUAGGAAUAGGUCUACUAUUGAUGUCGUAUGAGAUGUACAAAUUUUAUUAGUACUAUUAUUAGACAAGACAGUUGAAGUGAAUGGUGGAUUCAUGAUUUGAAGUUUAUGGAUUUCCAUAAUAUUCUCAAUUUAAUAUACAUACAAAGUCUAGACAAAAGUUAUUAAAUUCAUGUACAUCCUAUAAGAUUCACUUCCGACGUACUUGUAUCUCCAGUAGAGAUGUUUUUAGAUUUUGCAUUAAUAUAUCUUCUUCGUUAUUGUGUUGGUGAAAUAGUUUUUGUCUUUUCGACCAGGUAUAGAGCAAUUCUGACCCCCCAAAACGUCUUUUUAUUUUGUUUACCCUUGUAUCGAAUAUAUGUCCAAAAAAGAAUGUCAAUUUUGUUGAAUAAAUAAGGUUAAAGCUAGGUAUAUUAAUGUGCUGAGAUCCAAAAGAUAAUGAUCCUUUUUUUUUUAAUUUCAUGAACCAAUUAAGGACCCUACAAGCUACUGUUUGACAGGUUCAACUUUGAUUAGUCCUCUAUUACCAGUAAUAUCCACCCAACUGCUGUUGUUGCUCCUUCUUUCAUCGCACUUGUUCCUUUUUAUGACUUAUCAUGUCACGUCAACUCUUUCAAGUUUCAACGUCUUGGUUCCAUAAACUUGAAAAGUAUAUAUUCAUCAUCUUCUGGUAAAGUUAUUGUCAUGUGAUCAAAAGGUUACGAAUUCAAGCCAUCGAAAUAAUCUUUUGCAGAAAUGAAGGAUAAAACUACAUACCAUAGACUCUUGUGACUUCAAAUUCUAAAUUCGUCUUUGAGAAUAGGUGGAUGAUGAACGAGAAAUGUAUUAGAUUAAGGAAGAAGAUAGAAGCGUGAUCGUUAACAGGUGAUUAUAGGUGGAGGCAAUAUCUAGAGUGGUAAGUUGUGACUUGUGGCGUCAAAUGAGUUUAAGUGGAAGAAGCAAUAUGCAGUAAAAAUGAGUGAAUUCUUCGUGUAAUCCAUUUUGUUGAAGAAAAAAGUUAAAAACUUUUUAAUCCAAAAGGCCAAAUCGGAACCUUUUCCUUAUAUAAUAUUGGUCCGUAAGUGAGCAAAGGGCAAUUUCGAGCCAAAAUUAUUAACAAACACAUGAAUGAACCAAACCUAAUGGAGGACAACGAUAACCAUAUUCGCAAAAUCCAAGGGCUCAUAUGGACCUUUAACCUUAUGCAAUUGAUCAUGAUAUAAUUGAAUUCGCGGUCACUCCUUUUGUCAAAACAGUGACUCCAAUAGCGGAGUUUCAGCAAAAACAUGAUCUCCUAGUUGACAAAAAAAGUCAGAUUUAACAACAUAAAGCACCAGCUACAUAACAGGUUUACAAAAGCACAAUAGCCAUAGUUCCCAACUGUUUUGGUGACCAGAACUCAUCACUUCAUUUGGGUUCUGGAUCCAUACAUAGGACUUUAUUUAUUACAGAUAUAUGCUCUAUACAUUGUCUCCAAAUAUAUGACACAUUACUAGACACAUAAAAUAGUAUUCCGCAUUACUUCUAUACACAAUCAUGAACUUAGUAAGUCCAGAAGCCAAAACCUUGGUCGUCACUUGGAAAUCCAAAGUAGUGCAUAUUUGAGGAUGUCGCGGGAUAAUCAUCAUCCUCGACUUUGCCAAGCAGGUUGGCAGUAGAAAGCAUAGCCUUUCCGAAAUUUUCAUCAUCAUCCUGAGAUAAAUCUGACUGCUCAGUUUCAAAUACACGAGCAGAAUCACCCUGAUCUAUGAAAGUGGAAUGCCUCUUAUCAGUGUAAUGUGGGCUCUCUGAGUCGAAGACAUCGCUCUUAGCAGAGCUUAAAUCUUCCUGCUUCUGCUGUUUAAGAAUUCGAGAUGGCACAUUGGACAGUUCUACCCUCGAAAUUGGAUCAGCCACAGUUACUUCUACCGAUGCAUUGGACUGUUUUUGUAUAUCGCACAAAGUCAAUUGCCCAUUUCCUUUCUCCUUGACAAGCAGUUUAUCGGUGAGCUGGAAAACCUGAAUAAGGAUUGAACCAUCACAUAAAGCAUAGUCCACGAGAAGAUUAUCGCAAAUAAAAUAUAACUAUACAAUAAUAUAAAAUGUAAAGCUCCUUACUUCAACUCUAAGAUUUUCUUUUUCCUUGAGAAGAGUAUUGUAAUUUGAUUUCAGAUCGUCAUAUCUAUUCCUGAGUUCCUCAUACUCUUUCUCUAGCUGCUUAGUCUUCCAUCGUGCACGACGAUUCUGAAACCAAAUUGCAAUUUGGCGAGGUUGCAGACCUAGUUCUUUAGCAAGCUGGACUUUUCUUUCAGGUUCAAGUUUGUUCUCCUCCCCAAAACACUUCUCAAGAAACUGGACUUGGUUGUCCGUAAGUCUCCUCUUCUUCUCUGCUUGAUGAAAAUACUCCCCCAAUUCAUCAGCUUCAUUGUCUUCCUGAUCGAAUGAAUCGAAGAAUGACCGCUUCCCUCCAUUUACACCGCGGAAACUGACCAUAGAACUGGAUCCUGAAAGAUAAAAUAUCAACAAAACAUAUUACCAAGGUAUCAAUUUUGACAAAAUCUAGUAUACUUCACUCAAGAUAUUAUUUCAAUCUAGUAUACCUCACACUCUAUACAUAUUCAAUUUCAUCAAUCAAAUGGACAACACAUGAUCAAUCACCAAAUAUCAUAUCUAUCCCAACAGAGUUCAAUUCUGUAUAUAUAGAAGGGAGUGGCGCGGGCAAGAUUUUCGCUUAGAAGGAUCAAACUAUGAAGAAAUAAACACAAAAGAAGCUGAAGGGGUUCGAUUUCUACUACAUAUACAUAAAAAAAUAAUUAAUUUUAACCAUAUAUAAACAGUAUAAUUUUCCACUAUGGUUGGAUGAAUCCCCUCGAUCCUACCAAUCUCUGCCCCUGAUUGCAAGCAAUCAUCACAAAUUCAAGGAACUAAGACUCAUACUUAUACCAACAUUAACCAUAUACAGAAAAUUCAUUACAUGUGGAAGAGAAACAAAAGAGACUACUUUGUAGAAACUAAUCAUGCAAGAAUUCGAUUUACUGAUAAGCUUAAUUGUCAAUAUGUGAUCAUGAUACUACCUAAAUCCAAAUAUAGAGGAGAAAACAAAGUCAACGCUAUCAAAAUAAGAGUAAAAGAUAAGAGUAUGUACCGAAGAAAGAAGAGCAGUCAGGGCCAAAAAGAGAACCAAGAUGCUCUUUAGCAGUAGAAAAAUACAUAUCUCUCUGUUUCUGAUCGAAAUUAGAACCACCACCGUAGAGCAUCCCCCGAGCCAUCAUAGCUUCAAAAUUCCACAGACGUUUUUUUUUUAUAUAUAAAGCCAAGCUUGAUCCUUUUCAAGAAACACCCAUAGCCCCCUGUUUCCUUUAUGUUAAUCAAGAAUUUGGAGCUCUUGAUAAGUACCCCUUUUUAAUCUUUUUGUUGUAUAAGAAGUAUAUAUGUAGAAAAUACUAAGGAUCUACAGCUUGUGGCGAAAGAAGCUUGUGAUUAUAAUUUCAGUGAUGUGGGAAGUAUGAGAGCACCUGCUGCCGAUCACCAUGAACAUCAUCACCCUUGCUUAAUAACUCAAAAACAAGGAUAUGAUAUAACAAACAAACAAGGAUGACCUAGAUCAAUAGAACCAGAAGACUAUUUUUUAGUGUGUGUGUGUGUGUGUGUGUGUUGGGGGAAUAAGGCGGAGCAGUGUUGGAGCAGAGAAGAGAUGUGACUAAAGUUUUUGAUUGGUUCCUCUUGGCAACAGAUACUUAUAACAAUAAAAAAAAAAAAAAAAAAAAAAAAAAAAGAAAGGUUAACCUAAUGAAUAAUUUUUUAGAAAAUAUAUCAUAGGAGGAGUAUCGUAUUUUUGAAUAAGUCUUUACCGUUUAUUAUAAAUAAAAUUCAUCUAGAAAAUUUUAAUUUAAUUUAUGCAAUACCUAUGUGUGUUUCGUAUGGACUCUUUUUUUAAAAAAAAAAAAUGAUUUUAAUCAGUCAAAAAGAGUUUUAAAAUAUUUUUCUAAAAUAAGAAGGACUCCUCUAUUAAACGGUUAAACGGUUUUGGUUUCAAAUUUUAGAAAUUUGGUUAAACGGUUUGGUUUUCGAAAUUUCAAAAAAAAAAUCGGAUAAACCGAAAAAUCAAAAUUAUAUAAAUAACAUAUUAUAAUUUAUAUAUAUUUUUUAUUAUAUAUGUAAAUAUACUUAAAAUAUAAUAUAAUCUGAUAUAACAUAUAAAUAUUUAAAUUAUAAUCAUUUAGUAAUCCUAAAUCCUAAUACACUACUUUUCUUAGGCUACAACGACGCUCAUCCAUCCUCAGUUCAUUUGAAAUUUCAACAUCGCCAACGACAGUUGCAGUCGUUUGCUCAGUUCGUCACUGUCGUCGACAGUCGCUGUUGCGUGCGGCCAUUGUCGCCAUGCCAACGGUGAUGACUCGGCAAAGUCGAUAUUUAUGAUUAUUUUAUUCGUGUUGAAUUAAUUAUAUUUGAGAAUAAAAAUAAGUUUGAACAAAAGAUCAUUUUUCUAGAAAAAUUAUCAAUUUUAAAUGAUCACUACUUUAAUCUUCAAAAUCAAAAUAAAAAUACGAAAUAACCGAACCGAAUCUGUAAAAACAGAACCAAACCAAAAUAAUUUUGGUUUGGUUAUGAUUGUUAUUUUCGUCAAUCCGAAAACUAAAAAACCGUACCGAUAUUCAACAAUCAAACCGAACAAACUAAAUGUUCACCCCUAAAUAUAAGUAAGAAACAAUUUAUUUUAAAAAAAAAUAUUUCUCCUCCUUCAUAUCGAACACACCCCAAAAAAUAUUUUUUGAGAUCAAAAAAUAUUUUUCUAAAAUGUAUUUUUAUGCUUUAGCUAAAGAUUAUUAUUUUUUCAUUUUCCAACCAAACAUUACAAAAUAUUUUUCGGAAAAUAUUUUCUAUCCAUCAACCAAACAUAGGAAAACAAGUAAGAAAUCAACUUGUUUUCCAAGAAAACAUUUUCCAUGAAAAACAUUUUCCUUCGUACCAAACACACCCUUAGUUUUUCAAUACCAAGCAUACCCUAUACUUCAGAGUAAAAUACCUGAUUUUGACAAAAUGCGUACACUGGCGAGUACAACACUAGUUACAAAUGAAUUUAACCCAUUUAUUUUACCUAUGACUUGAGUAAAGCCGAAGAGUGCCACAAAUUCGGAAAAGAGACAAAUAUAUCUUCAAAUUAAGAUAAAUGAUACGUAUAUAUUCUCCAUCAUAUUUUGAGUAUACAUAUAAACCUAUCGUUAAUAAAAUAGUAUAUAUAUGCCCUCACAGUAUGCCACUUCAACCAAUCUUUAUUUAUGUAUUGUUUGAGACGAUAAGGUUAAUAGAAAGGAAAUGAGAAUAAAGAGAAAAAAAUGAAAACUUAUAAUGACAAACAUUUGUACUAAGCAGAAGUUUAUCAUUCAAAAUUUUCUAAAAAUAUAUCUUCCUAUUUCGGGAAAGUAGUUUUCUUAGUAGGAGUAGUACUAGUUUCUUUUCAUUUAUUCGAAUUUAGUUAAAAAGGCGUGGGGAGAACUGAUAAAUAUAUAUAAUACUAGACACCGAGGGUCCGGGCUAGCAGCGGCUUCAUAUAUUUAUUUUUUUAUCUCAAUAUAUGUGACAUAAAAAGAAUUUAGAUAAUUAAUCAUAUUUUUAAUAUAUUUGUAAAUAUUUUAAAUUGUUAACUAUUGUAAUUUAUAAUAAUUUUUAUGUAUUUUAAAAUAAUAUAUAUUACUCUCAUUGUUCAAACUUUUGUGGUAUUGAUGGUCAAUAACAACAAACCCAGUAUAUUUCCAUAAAGUGGGGUCUGGAGAGGAUAGAAUGUAAGCAAUCCAUACCGCUACCUUCAAAGAAGCUGAAAGGUUGUUUCCGAUAGACCCCCGACUCAAGAUAGAAGUGGAAUUGAUAGUUAAAUAUAUUUUAAAAAUAAUUUAAAUUUUUAAUUUUUGAGAUUUAUAAUAUUUUUUUUCUUUUCUAAUUUAAGUGAUAGUGAUAUAAUUUCGAUAAUCAACUAAAUAUGUUGUAUCUUUUAAUUUUUUUAAGUCGUUAAUUAUUGUGGUUUAUAGUAUUUUUUAUAAAUAUAUAACAAAUUAAUUCUUUUGGAUGUUUAAAUUGUUAACUAUUAUAAUUUAUAAUACUUUUCUGUAAUUUUCAAUUAAUAUAUAUUACUCUAUUUGUCUAAACUUUUAUGGCAUUAACAGUCCAUUAUAUUUUUAAAAUUAGUUUACAUUUUAAUUUAUGAUGAUUUAUAAUACUUUUUCUUCUAUUUCAAUUUAAGUGGUACUGAUAUAAUUUCGAGAGUCCGAUAAAUAUUUUAUAUCUUUUAAAUUUUUUAUGUUGUUAAUUAUUAUGAUUUAUACUAUUUUUUAUGUAUGUUUUUAGUCUCACUUUAUGUGACACAAAUAAACUUUAAAUAAUUAAUUUUUUUAAUAUAUUUUUAGAUAUUUUAAGUUGUUAGCUAUUGCGAUUUAUAAUACCUUUUUGGUACUGUAAUUUACCAUUUUAAGUCGUUAGUUAUUGUAAUUUAUAACACUUUUUUUGUCUAAACUUUUAUUGCAUUAAUAGUCAAAUAUAUUUUAAAAAUAAUUUAAGAUUUUGAUUAUUAUAAUUUAUAAUACUUUUUCUUCUAUUUCAAUUUAUGUGACACUGAUAUAAUUUCGAGAAUUAACCAAAUAUCACGAUUGAAGCAACGAAGUGGACACGUCUUAAAUGACCAUAAUAACUAAUUAGAAGUAAUAUAACAAAAUUGCUAUAAAAAAUACUUGUGAAAAAAAUUUAAAUAGACAUCAUAUAAAAUUACAAUUACUUUAAACCAUCAAAAGUUAAUUUAUCAUUUUAUGUCUAUUUUAUAUUUUUAUAUUAUUAGAACUAAUUUACUAACCUUUUUUUUAUUCUUAAUGAAAGUAUUAAUACCAAUACAAAUAUCUAGUAAUUAUUUUAAAUUUCAAAUUUUAAAAAUCUUAUCUUUUUCUUAAAUAUCAUAUUAAGUCAUAGGUGAACGGACUAAGGAAGCAAUAAAAAUGUAAAUUCGUGUUAGGUGCGCUACCUUCCGAAUAAACUCUGCAACAUGUAAUUUCAAUUAGCCGUGCUUUAAUACAGGCAUCAAACACCCAACGGGACAUGAAAUAAAAAAAAUUGUAAAACAAAGUCCCAAUCAGUCGGUGGGGUGACGUAUACUGUUUUUCUUUCUCUUUGCCCCUUUGGGACCUUUUUGUAUUUUCAAAUCAAAUAAAAUAAGAAGUCCCCUACUAAUCUUUAUAAAUUUUGAAAAGCCAGGUUACAUGAACAUAGCUGUUAUUCACUUCAUUCCUCUUUACUUGCCACGUUACAAUUCUGAGCAUUACAAAAUUAGAUGUUGGUACGACAACGGCGAUGUAACUAUAGCAUCUCACUCCAUCCACUUGUCAUUUGGGGAUUUGCAAGUUUUAGUUACUCUCACGAUAUAUUUUUCUUUUUAAUUGAUUUAAAAAAUGCUACCUCAUCCAUUUAAAUAAGAAUAACUUAAUGUGAUUUGACACAACAUUUAAAAAAAUAUUUAUUUUAAUCCUGUGAUUUUAAAUUAAAAUUAUAUUAAAUGUAUCUAAAUAUUCUUUAAUUUUGUGAUUUUAAAUAUGUCAUGUGAAAAGUUAAAAUUAAAAUAUUACCUAAAAAGAAAAGAGCUCAUUCUUUUAAAAACGAAUUAAAAAGGAAAAUGAGUUAUUCUUUUUGAAACGGAGGACGUAUAUUAUUAAAAAUCGAGUAAGUAGAAAUAAUAUUGAUUCUCGUCUAAUGGAAUUAAGCGGAGGAAAAAUGAUAUGUGUACGUAAAAUAAAGCGAGAUCUGAAUUGUAAUGGAAUGAAUAUGAUCUCCUUAUUUUUUAUCACAUGUCUCGAGUUUAACUUCUCAAUUUAAAAUAAAUCCUUUUGGAAAAAUAUUUUUCUUCAUAAACAGAUUAUAUAUACACAAUACAAUUCAAAUGAACUAGAAUUUCAAUAAAUAUAUCAAGCGUCCAAUGGAAGAAAUAAAACAAACAAUCUUUAGACUUUUUAAAAUCUUUGCGUAUUAGAGAGGUACUAAACUUUUGACUUAAAGGCAUGUAAUAGUUAAAAUUAUGUUGAAAUCAAAGGUAAUAAAAACUAGAAAAAAGCUUGAUGAAACAUCUGGCAUACAUGUUCAUAUGGAUAAUAGAAUGGAAGUCGAUCGAGAGUUGACUUUGGUGAGUAGGUUUCCUCCAUUUAUUGUGCUUAUCUAGCCGGCCCAGAUAAAUAAAUGGAAAACAAGAAAAGAGAGAAAAUGUAGUAGAGGUGUUUACGGUAUAUUUAUAUUUAGUAUAAUUUUAUAAAUAAAUUUUGGGGAAGUUGAUGGGUAUGAAAAAGUUAUUACACGAAUCUCUUUUUCUCUUGUCAUUAUUUUUUCUUUUCGUUAAGAUAAUGCAAGAGAUUGAAAAUUUGAUUGGUACUAAAGAUGACAAGAGCUUUUAUUUACGAGAAAUAUAUGAAAUCAAAAAUAUUGAUGGUGUUAGAACUAUGACAUCUGAUGGUUAAAUGUCUAUCGUGGAUAUAUAUUUGAAAGCUCAGAUGGAAAGAAUAGAUUCCACAAGGACUAUUUCAACCACUUUAAUAUAAAUCAGAAGGGGUGAAGUUGUUGGAUUUUGCUCAAUCUUGUCCUAUCUUGCAAAGAAAAAUUGGCGGUGUCUACUCAAGCCAAUAAAAUUAUACUUAGAUAGUUUAACAAACACUAGAUGUAUAUAGGCUUUUUACUGAAAAGGGAGAGAAGAAAUAUAUAUGUGAUGAACGCAGGAGUAACUCAAGGGUGAGAUUAGUAAAAUUUUUAUUUUAUUCAAAAUUUCAAGGCCUCAAAUUAUUUUAAUUAUUAAUUUUAUAAUUUUCUUUUCUUUUUGACAAUAUCAAAUAAAGUAAAUAAAACUAUCAUCAUUCAAUAGAAAUAUUUUGAAACUUUAAAUUAAGCUACUCAAAUUUUCAUAAUAAUAAAUAAUAUAUUUACAAUAACAUACAAGGUAAUGUAUUGAAAACGCAUGGCUAAUAUCUUAUUAAUUUGAAUUAAUUUUUAUUAUUAUAAAUAAUAAUAUUAUUAUGUGAAAUAUAAUACUACACUAAAAAACAAUUAUAAAAAAAACAAGAAAAAAUAACAUUAGUUUGUCAUUUAUUAUUUAUAUGUAUAUUUUUAAGAACUCAAACUAAAAUAUAAUUUUAAGCCACUAAUUUUAUUGAGACGUCCUUGAAUAAACGUGAUGAGAUACGUUAUUGUAAAUACUAAGCACUGUGUUCCUUUUUCAUUCUUGCAAUAGUAAAAAGUUUGAUAAUAAAUUUUUCAUGUUUUCCUUUUCUCUAAAAAAAAAUGCGUACAAUGGUAAUACACCCGAUUGACAAAUGUAAGAUUUGAUGCUUCUUGGGUGAUUGUCCUUCAUUCAGCGUUAAGUUCUCCUUUAACCACUUGAGUUUAGUUGUCUAAAAUUAUUUUGAAGGAAUUAAAAAUUAACCACUAACGUUGAAUGAUUUUUUCAGGAAACUAUAAACACCAUCUGCAUAAAAGGUUAAGCAAUUCUACUAGUUUAUUUACGGUUAUUAAAUUGAUAGCCCAUCACAAGUCUCUAAAUUAUACAUAUUUGUGACAAUACAAAAGUCCUUGAGACCUCUGAUGUCUUCAUAUUUCAUCCAUAAAUAGAAUUUACUGAUGAAUUUUGUAAGAAACUUAUCAAAAUGUGGUUGUAAGAAACUGUGUUCAUCAAAUAUAUAUGUGAAAGAGCGAAGUUUUGGCUAUGUAAAAUACUCAUUCUGCAAGUAUAUCUUUCUGAUCAUCGUCCCAAAAUAUUUGAGUGAAAUGCAUUCCUUCAUAAGCACUAGGAUCAGUGGCAGCGCAACCCUGACCAAAACAUUAUUGGACUUUCUUUUGUCAGUAGUCACAGAGAUGAGCUGGACUUCAGUCGAGUCAAUUGUCUUGUGUGGGUACUGCAUCAAUCUGCAAGAAACUUUUCAGUUGCAGUACAGAGACCUUGAAUUGGCUAAAAAUAGGCCCGAGCUUGCGAUGACAUGGGUUGGGGUUUAUGUGCAUGCCUAACAUAAAAGCAUCGCAUAUCAGGUAUGGAAGUACAGCCUGCAGUUCCGCUAGUAAAUAUUUCUGACACAUUGUGCAUUUGUGAUUCAAUUUUUAAACUGUGAAGGUUAAUAUCAAUUGUGAUUUUCUAUAUUGAACACUUAGCUCAUGCCUAUAAUAAUUGCCAAGUUCCCGAACUUUGGAACCCAUGCGACAACUAAAAGCAUAUACUAUUGCACAGUAGCAAUUUAUGCUUUGUUCAAAGCUGCAAUAGAAGUGGAAGUAUUUCUUUCUCGCAAGCGCAGCAACAAUGUUUCUUAUGUUCAUGAAAUGUAAGUUUGACUAUCUUAAAUUUCUCCACAAAUGGACUUGCAUGUAGUGUUAUGUAGUUUAAGUGUUAAGCUUAUCGAUUUCUGGCUCAUUCAGUUUUUAUGCUCUCCUUUGAUCAUAUUCAUUCUGGAACUCACAUCAUGAACUCUUAUAUGUUUGUGUGUCUUCUAUAUGUGGAGAAGGGACUGUAUAUCACAGUUUGUAAUCUCUGGUCCUUUUUUUCGUAUUUUCAUGUUCUUCUCCUUCUUGCUUUACAUCAGCCUAUCCCCAAUCAUCCGACUUUCUUGGAGAGCGCAUAAAAAAUCAAUUGAAUUUGAGGAGGUGAAAUGGUUUAAUUAGAACACCAGAGCUGCCACGGAUUGCUGAAAUGUUCAUUCCCCUAUUCAAGAAAUGGUCUGUGGAUUAUGCAGGAAGCGGUAUGUCCUUAGCGACCAUUGCUUUGUUAUCAGGUUAUUUUAGCCGUCUUGUGCUGCAAGCAAAUCUCUUGAAUAGUAAUCUGAUGAUUACUAUUGCACGUAUUCUUUAUACAUCAGUUGAUAAAACAUAUAAUACAGAAGUUGCAGGAAAUAUCUUGGCAAUAAGUUGUUGCACAACAGUGAGAAAAUUAGGUUCAGGACGAGUUUCGUGUCCUAUAUUUUCAGCUGGUGAUUUCAAUUUUAACGGGGCAAUUUUGAUAUGAAUGUGAAAACUGUUAAGUUGAAGGGUAUAUUUGACAAGUUUGCUAACAGUGAGAGUAUAAAUAGCCCCAUAGUAUAACAAAGGAAAAAAUUAGCCAAUUAAUGAAAGUAGAGGGAUAUAUUUGAUCGAUAUGUUUCAUUUAAUCUGUAAGGUAAAUAUUUGAGAAUUGUUUAAGCAGUGACUUGAUCUAUUAAAAAUCAAUAUACAAAAUGAAUAAAAAGAAUUUACAAGGAACAAAAGACAUAUAUUAAAUACUAGUUUAGGUGUACGUAUCUUGCGCGUGUACCUCAGUUUAAUGAGUUCAAACAUUACACUAAAUAGGAUAUUUAUUUAAAUAAUAAAGCUGAAUAUAAUAAUUAAAUUUAAUAUCUUUUGCGUAUGUAAAGAUGGAGAAUUUAUUUAUUAAACCUAACUUUUACCAAAAAUAUUUUUAAAAGGUGAUCGACAUUCAUCUACCGCUUGUAAAUUGUAACAAAAUAAUAUAAUGAUAGAGACAUCAAAAUAAUACAAUUAAAUCUAAUCUUUACACACACAAAAAUUCUCAAAGUCGUCCGACAUCAAAAUAAUACAAUUAAAUCUAAUCUUUAUACACAAAAAUUUUCUCAAAAUCGUCCGACACUCAUCUACCACCUGUAAACAAUAACAAAAUAAUAUGAUAAUAGAGAUAUCAAAAUAAUACAACUAAACCUAACCUUUACAUAAAAAAAAUCCUCAAAGCCGACCUACAUUUAUCUAUCACCUGUAAACUGCAACAAAAUAAUACUAUAAAAGUGAUAUCAAAACAAUAUAAUUAAACUUCAUCUACGAACUGUAAACUACCACAAAAUAACAAACUAAUAGAGAUAUUACGGUAAUACAAUUAAACCUAACCUUUACCUAAAAAAAAUUCAAAGUCGAUCCACAUUCGUCUAACAUCUGUAAAUUAAAAUAAAACAAUAAGAUAAUGAAGAUAUCAAAACAAUACAAUUAAAUCUAACUUUUAUACAAGAAAUUCUUCAAAGUCAACCGGCAUUCAUCUAUGACCUGUAAACUAUAGUAAGAUAAUAUAAUAAUGAUCACAAAGCUAUGAUUUUGAUCCAACUAAUUCUUGUCUGAGCGAAAUUUUUGACUUAAAGAAUGAUUUUGAAUGAAAACAAAAAAGAUAUAUAUAUAUAUAUAUACACACACACACACAUAUGUUGAAUUCUAUUAUGCUGACAAAAACAGUGAAGAAGUUGAGAAUUAGAAAAUCAAGCAUCCAUCAAUCUAGACAUGCAAUCAAAUCAAGUUAGAUGAACAUCAAUCAUAUUCUCCCAAUAGACAAACCUGUUUGUUUUCUAUUUUAACGUACAUUUUAAUAUUUAUAGAAGUAUUUCCUUAAUAGAGUCUAUUUUAGGAGUAUUUUUCUAAUUGAACCGUAGAAAGGAAAAUAUUAAUUAAUUUUUCUACCAUACAAUUUAGGAGUCCAUAUAUUUUAGGAAGUCUAGUAGAAAUAAAAAUAUUAAUUAAUUCUCCUACCAUAUAUUUUAGGAAGUCUAGUAGAAAUGAAAAUAUUAAUUAAUUUUCCUACCAAUUAUUUUAGGAGUCCAAUAUAUUUUAGGAAGUUAAUAUAAUAAAAAAUAAUUAAAUAAUAAAUUAAGAAAAUAGUGAAAAGAUAGUUUUGUCUAAAGAAGAGUCUUUUAAUUAAGGGUAAAAAGUUUGAAUCACUUUUCUAAGGUCUUCACGCUUUUAAUAUAUUAUAGAUAUAGAUUAUAGAUUAUAGAUUAUAGAUAAUGAAAGAUAAAAAGCUAGAAUAUAAAAGAUUAAUGAUUCUGGAAUUAAUAGCUGAUACACAUCUAUUACAAUUUUUUUUUAAGGUUACAUUGAAUCAAGAAAGUGAGAGUAAGGUCCUCACUUUUUUUUAUGUGCCCACACAAGAAGCUAGAAGGUAAUAGGAAAAUUUUUCUCCUUAUAUAUGAUUUAGACCAUAUUUAAGUAGUGUUCGAGUCAAGAUUUUCAAAAAAAUCUAAAUUAAAAAGAUAACAUAUGGAAAAGUUAAAAAAAAAACUUAAUAUCUAAUACACAGAGAUAAAAGCUAAAAAAAUAAAUAAAUUAAACCAUGAGAGAGUGGGGAGUACCGGAGUAGGGAAUCUUUUUCUUUUUUGGGCCUUUGGGCUUAAAAAUGUUGGUUUUUAAUUUUGUUUUAAUUACAUAUCAUGUGGUUGUAUCAAGGAAAAAUUACCUAAAUAAACAAUAUAAGUUUCUAAACUUCUAAAAAUUUCCCCACUUCUUAAAACUUACUCAAAUUCCAACAUUUCAUAUUUUUUAUUAGUUGUGAGAUACAAGUUAACCCUAUAACUAAAAAGGCGGCUCUUUAUCAAAAAAUACUCCACAUUUCCUCUUUGAACGACGCAAAAUCUGACUAUUUUCUAUCCAUCUUCUCCAUCUGAUUCAAAAAAUUCAAUCAAGGUAAUUUCCCCCAUAAAAUCAGUUUCAACUUAUUUAAUUCUUUUUUUAUAUUUUUUUUCAUAAAAUUUGUUGCCACAAGUAAAGAUAUCUGAAAGUUGAGUAUUUUGGUAGAGAGAUUUCUUCAAUUUCACUUUUUUUUUUGCUCCAUUAUUUGAAUUAGCAGCAUGAAUAGAGAGUCUGGAUCUUCUUUUAGUCUUGGAGUUUCUCAAUUAGAAUGUUUCAAAGAUCUCAAGAAGUUGUAAAUUUUAUUCCGGGAGAUUUUGACUAUAAAAUUGAUGGUUUUUAUGAAAAUAGGUCAAAACAUAGAAACGAUCCCCAAACUAUAAAGAAAUUAUGUCAAAAAAUUGCUAAGAAGGACCAGAGAAAAGAAAGUGGUUAUAAGAGAAGAGGACACAACAGCCCUGAAAGUAAAGCUCCCAUCAAGAUAAGAAGAGUUGUUGAAGAAAUUUGUAGAGAUGAGCUUCCUAAGGUAAUUGCAUGUUCAGAUUUGUUCAAUUUUAGGCCGAGAUACAUAUUUUGUGAUGGAUGAUACGUUUCUGAUAAAAUUUAUUUUUUUAUCCGGUGCUUUGUUGCUAAUAAUUUAUAUGUAUCUUGUGAUUUAUUUUGAUAUUGUAACUAAUAUAACAAAAGAUACAAGUUUCUUGUUAUUAGAUACAUGUUAUGUUGUCUUGUAUCUGUUGCUUGUUGUUAAUGCUUUGAUAUGUAUCUAUUGGUGUUUAAACUUGACUGAAAAUUAUAUUAUAAAAGAUACAAGUUAUGACUUCAUAGAUACAUUUUAUGUUAACUUGUAUCUGGCACUAACUGUUAAUUGCUUGAAAUGUGUCUAGUGUUGUUUAAUUGUUAUUGAAAGUCAUAUAACAAAAGAUACAAGUUUCAUGUCAUUAGAUACAUGUUAUGUUGUCUUGUAUCUGUGAGUUGUUGUUAAUGAUUUGAUAUGUAUCCGUCGAUGUUUAAACUUGACUGAAAAUUAUAUUAUAAGAGAUAGAAGUUAUGACUUGAUAGAUACAUGUCAUGUUAACUUGUAUCUGGUACUAACUGUUAAUAGUUUGAAAUGUAUCUAGUGUUGUUUAAUUAUUAUUCAAAGUGAUAGAACAAAAGAUACAAGUUUUUAAAUAGAUACAUGUUAUGUUGACUUGUAUCUGGUACUUACUGUUAAUUUCUGGAAAUGUAUCUAGUGUUGGUUUAAUUGUUAUUGAAAGUCAUACAACAAAAAAUAUAAGUUAAUACCUACAUACAUACAUGUUGUAUUAACUUGUUUCUAAAGUAUGUUGUUAUUAGAGUAUUUGUUUUUAUUGUAAUGUCUUAAUGUAGAGUUGUUGCAUAUAGACUAAUUUUUUCACUAUUGUUUGUUUUUGUUUUAGGAAUUGAGUUAUGUUAUAAAGGAAAUUCCAAGUCAUCCUCUUAGAUUUGUAAGUUUAUGCAAUUUAAGAUUUAAGGAUGAAAUUAAUACAGUUGUUGGGCAAGAAGUGUUACACUUAUUUGAGAAGACUAUCUUCGGAUGUUAUCUCAACAUGCCUAUUUCUAAUUAUAUUGGACAAAUAACAAAAUGUAUUCUUAUGCUCGAGAUCGAGCAAACAAAUCAAGAAGAGAUACCUGUUUUUGUCAAAGGCCAGAUCCUUAGAUUUUCAGUCAAUGAAUUUGCUUUGAUUAUUGGCUUAAACUGUUUUGGGAAUGUUGAUGAUUUCAAUUAUGUAGAGUCUUCUCCAAGUAGGCUUAUGAAAAGGUAUUUUCCACAAUCAAUCAAUGGUGUAGAUAAGGAUGCAUUGGUGGAACGUUUUCUAAAGAGAAAUUUUGAAAACAAAGAGGAUGCCCUCUAGAUGACAAUUCUAUAUUUCAUACACACUUUUAUCUACUCACAGUUGAAUGCUUCUCCCGUGCCAUUUUUUGAUUUCAAAAUGGUUGAACAUGGAAAAUAUCAAUUCUUUCCUUGGGGUAAAGUAUCUUUCUCCAGGUUGAUGGCCUCACUUAGGCAAGAAUUUUCAAUGGAGAAGCAACUUUAUAGGUUAGGUGGUAUCCCACAGGUUCUUAAUGUGUGGAUGUUUGAACUUUGUUUAAAUGUUGAAUCCAAAGUUGCUGUCAAGGAGGGAAAUAACAUACCUCGCAUAUUGAAUUGGAAGGUUGUUGCAGU